rnacentral:rRNA from 1 species
UACAGAGGGUGCAAGCGUUAAUCGGAAUUACUGGGCGUAAAGCGUGCGUAGACGGUUAUUUAAGUCAGGUGUGAAAGCCCCGGGCUCAACCUGGGAAUUGCAUUUGAGACUGAAUAGCUAGGCUGCGGAAGAGGGAAGCGGAAUUUCCGGUGUAGCGGUGAAAUGCGUAGAUAUCGGAAGGAACACCAGUGGCGAAAGCGGCUUCCUGGUCCAGCACCGACGUUCAGGCACGAAAGCGUGGGGAGCAAACAGG